rnacentral:rRNA from 1 species
CUACCCAUGGCCAGGUUGAAGCGAUUGUAAAAGGUCGUGGAGGACCGUACCCACCUAGGUUGAAAACUGGGGGGAUGAGUUGUGGGUAGGGGUGAAAGGCUAAUCAAACUCCGUGAUAGCUGGUUCUCCCCGAAAUGCAUUUAGGUGCAGCGUUCUGCGUGUGUUGUUGUGGUGGUAGAGCUACUGGUUGGUUGAUGGGCCGUUUUGGUUACUGACGUCAGCUAAACUCCGAAUGCCAUUGAUAAUUGCAGGGCAGUGAGACUGCGGGGGAUAAGCUUCGUAGUCGAGAGGGAAACAGCCCAGAUCAUCGGUUAAGGCCCCUAAGGGUGUGCUGAGUGGGAAAGGAUGUGGAGUUGCAUAGACAACCAGGAGGUUGGCUUAGAAGCAGCCAUCCUUGAAAGAGUGCGUAAUAGCUCACUGGUCAAGUGAUUCUGCGCCGAUAAUGUAGCGGGGCUCAAGUACACCGCCGAAGUUGUGGCAAUGAUCUUUUUGGAUUGUUGGGUAGGGGAGCGUCGUGUGGCCGGUGAAGCUGCGGUGUAAACCAGUGGUGGAGGCUAUGCGAGUGAGAAUGCAGGCAUGAGUAGCGAAAGAUGAGUGAGAAACUCAUCCGCCGGAUGAUCAAGGGUUCCAGGGUCAAGUUAAUCUGCCCUGGGUUAGUCGGGGCCUAAGGCGAGGCCGACAGGCGUAGUCGAUGGAUAACGGGUUGAUAUUCCCGUACCGGUGAAAAACCGCCCAUACUGAUAUUGUGAUGCUAACCAUGCGAAGCAUGAUGUGCAGGCUUUUGUUUGUGUGUUGUGUGGGUUGUGGGAACCGAUCUUUGGAGGUAAACGUGUUAACAGGUGUGACGCAGGAAGGUAGCCAAGCCACGCGAUGGUUGUCGUGGUCUAAGCGUGUAGGGUUGUCGGUUGUUAAAUGCGCCGGCUGUGUGCCUGAGACGUGAUGGGACCCCGUUUUUGGGGGAUUUGGUGAUCCUAUGCUGCCGAGAAAAGCAUCGGCGUGAGGUUUUAGCCGCCCGUACCCUAAACCGACACAGGUGAUCAGGUAGAGAAUACUAAGGCGAUCGAGAGAAUCAUGGUUAAGGAACUCGGCAAAUUGCCCCCGUAACUUCGGGAGAAGGGGGACCUUGAGCGUGAUGGGCACUUGCUGCCUGGAGCGUGUAUGGGUCGCAGAGACCAGGGGGAAGCGACUGUUUAUCAAAAACACAGGUCCGUGCGAAGUCGUAAGACGAUGUAUACGGACUGACUCCUGCCCGGUGCUGGAAGGUUAAGAGGAUUGGUUAGCCUUUUUUGGGCGAAGCUGAGAAUUUAAGCCCCAGUAAACGGCGGUGGUAACUAUAACCAUCCUAAGGUAGCGAAAUUCCUUGUCGGGUAAGUUCCGACCUGCACGAAUGGCGUAACGACUUCUCCGCUGUCUCAACCGCGAACUCGGUGAAAUUGCAGUACGAGUAAAGAUGCUCGUUUCGCGCAGAAGGACGGAAAGACCCCGGGACCUUUACUAUAGCUUGGUAUUGGUGUUCGCUUGGACUUGUGUAGGAUAGGUGGGAGACUGUGAAGCUGCCGCGCCAGCGGUGGUGGAGUCGUCGUUGAAAUACCAUUCUGGUUCAAGCGGUCACCUCAACCUUGGCCCGUGAUCCGGGUUGGGGACAGUGCCUGGUGGGUAGUUUAACUGGGGCGGUUGCCUCCUAAAAGGUAACGGAGGCGCUCAAAGGUUCCCUCAGCCUGGUUGGUAAUCAGGUGGCGAGUGCAAGUGUACAAGGGAGCUUGACUGUGAGACCGACGGGUCGAGCAGGUGCGAAAGCAGGAACUAGUGAUCCGGCCAUGGCACGUGGGUGCGUGGUCGCUCAACGGAUAAAAGGUACCCCGGGGAUAACAGGCUGAUCUUGCCCAAGAGUCCAUAUCGACGGCAUGGUUUGGCACCUCGAUGUCGGCUCGUCGCAUCCUGGGGCUGUAGUCGGUCCCAAGGGUUGGGCUGUUCGCCCAUUAA